GCCUUUGUGGUGAAAAGGUAAACACGGUAGAUUCAAAUCCUAUUGCAAUUAGCUUACUGGUUCAAGUCCAGUCAAAGGUA
rnacentral:tRNA from 1 species